rnacentral:snoRNA from 1 species
AAGACUGUGCUUUUCAUGAAUCAUUUGUGUAGUUUGUCAUGAGAGAAGUUUCUCUGAUCGAGUAGAGCACCAGUAACCAUGAGGAGGAGCAGCGUUCUCCUUGGUGUGCUUUGCGCGGCUGCUGUUCACUCACUGCUGGUGGCUCUUUUUCUUUUUGGGAGAGUAAGAGGGAAAAAACCCUGAAUAG